rnacentral:rRNA from 1 species
AAUCAACGCUGGCGGCGUGCCUCAGACAUGCAAGUCGAACGAGAAAGUUCCCUUCGGGGAGCGAGUAAAGUGGCGCACGGGUGAGUAACACGUAGGUAAUCUACCUUCGGGUGGGGAAUAACCCAGGGAAACUUGGGCUAACACCGCAUAAUGCAGCGGCACCACAUGGUGACAGUUGUUAAAGCGGGGGAGUUUAGUACCUCGCGCCUGAAGAGGAGCCUGCGGCGGAUUAGCUUGUUGGAAGGUAACGGCUUACCAAGGCGACGAUCCGUAGCCGGCCUGAGAGGGCGGUCGGCCACACUGACACUGACAUACGGGUC